GUCUACAGCCCUGCCACCCAGAAUGAGCCCGAUCUCGUCUGAUCUCGGAAGCUAAGCAGGGUCGGGCCUACUUAGUACUUGGAUGCGAGAUCACCUAGGAUUACCAGGUGCUGUAGGCA
rnacentral:rRNA from 1 species